GAUGAACGCUGGCGGCGUGCCUAAUACAUGCAAGUCGAGCGAACAGAUAAGGAGCUUGCUCCUUUGACGUUAGCGGCGGACGGGUGAGUAACACGUGGGUAACCUACCUAUAAGACUGGAAUAACUCCGGGAAACCGGGGCUAAUGCCGGAUAACAUUUAGAACCGCAUGGUUCUAAAGUGAAAGAUGGUUUUGCUAUCACUUGUAGAUGGACCCGCGCCGUAUUAGCUAGUUGGUAAGGUAACGGCUUACCAAGGCAACGAUACGUAGCCGACCUGAGAGGGUGAUCGGCCACACUGGAACUGAGACACGGUCCAGACUCCUACGGGAGGCAGCAGUAGGGAAUCUUCCGCAAUGGGCGAAAGCCUGACGGAGCAACGCCGCGUGAGUGAUGAAGGUCUUCGGAUCGUAAAACUCUGUUAUUAGGGAAGAACAAAUGUGUAAGUAACUGUGCACGUCUUGACGGUACCUAAUCAGAAAGCCACGGCUAACUACGUG
rnacentral:rRNA from 1 species